UAGAGUUUGAUCCUGGCUCAGAACGAACGCUGGCGGCGUGGAUAAGACAUGCAAGUCGAACGAGAGAAUUGCUAGCUUGCUAAUAAUUCUCUAGUGGCGCACGGGUGAGUAACACGUGAGUAACCUGCCCCCGAGAGCGGGAUAGCCCUGGGAAACUGGGAUUAAUACCGCAUAGUAUCGAAAGAUUAAAGCAGCAAUGCGCUUGGGGAUGGGCUCGCGGCCUAUUAGUUAGUUGGUGAGGUAACGGCUCACCAAGGCGAUGACGGGUAGCCGGUCUGAGAGGAUGUCCGGCCACACUGGAACUGAGACACGGUCCAGACACCUACGGGUGGCAGCAGUCGAGAAUCAUUCACAAUGGGGGAAACCCUGAUGGUGCGACGCCGCGUGGGGGAAUGAAGGUCUUCGGAUUGUAAACCCCUGUCAUGUGGGAGCAAAUUAAAAAGAUAGUACCACAAGAGGAAGAGACGGCUAACUCUGUGCCAGCAGCCGCGGUAAUACAGAGGUCUCAAGCGUUGUUCGGAAUCACUGGGCGUAAAGCGUGCGUAGGCUGUUUCGUAAGUCGUGUGUGAAAGGCGCGGGCUCAACCCGCGGACGGCACAUGAUACUGCGAGACUAGAGUAAUGGAGGGGGAACCGGAAUUCUCGGUGUAGCAGUGAAAUGCGUAGAUAUCGAGAGGAACACUCGUGGCGAAGGCGGGUUCCUGGACAUUAACUGACGCUGAGGCACGAAGGCCAGGGGAGCGAAAGGGAUUAGAUACCCCUGUAGUCCUGGCAGUAAACGGUGCACGCUUGGUGUGCGGGGAAUCGACCCCCUGCGUGCCGGAGCUAACGCGUUAAGCGUGCCGCCUGGGGAGUACGGUCGCAAGAUUAAAACUCAAAGAAAUUGACGGGGACCCG
rnacentral:rRNA from 1 species